ensembl:lncRNA
CUUUAUUUUAUGGUCAGAAAAUCGGAGGACAUCAGUUACUGAAUUAAAUACAAAACUUAGAUGAAAGCAUUUCAAAGCGUGUACAAACAUUGUUCACAUAUACUUAAGGAUACAUUUGUCAUGUUCAAGGAAGAGAUACAAUAUAAUAACUAAUAAGCUAUCAUAUUGGGUUUAAUAAAUCCUUGGAUUCAUUUUUUAUUUGUAACAUUAGAACAAGUAAAUUUUCCUGGAAAUAGUCUUAACAGAACAAUUUGACAGUGCUGAUUAUUUCCUCAUAUCAUGAAAAUAUUAAAAAAAAUAAAUCUUGUUCUCUAAAUCAAUCAAUAAAAACUCUAUUAUGCUUAUUUUUAUAGAAUAUUAUGUACUUUAAAUGACUUUAAGCAUUUUCCUAAGGACCAGCAAUUGAUUUUAGUGUUUUCCCUAAGAAAAUAUGGAAUGGUAUUACCUGUGUAAUAGUAAUUGUUCUUUCAAAGUGUUUAGCUAUGGAAAACACUUCUCUGUAUAAAUGAAAAAAAAAAAAUAGAAGGUUCUUCAAAAGAGUAGUAAACUAGAACCUUCACUUUAAAUAAUUAUGGAGUUUCUCAAAUGUAGCCAGUUUCUAGCCUUUUUUCCCUUUUCACUAGUCAUUUUGCAUCUUCUUUCAAAAUGCAUCAUCCUACAGAUGUGCCCUGAAAUGCUGGACAGCAUUUCUCUCUUUAAUUAUAGUAUUGCUAAUAGGUUAUAGAAUUAAAGUAGUGGGAAAAACUUGAAAUAAAAAAACAAGAUCCUCACACUAUUUUCUUUAUUGUAGAUACUUGCUUUAUGACAUUCACCACCACCCAGAUCUGCACAACUUGAUGCUCUCAACUCCCUUUUUUAUUAAUGAUUUAUGGAGAGGUGUUUCUACAUAGGCUCAGUCUUAGUGGUUCUAAAGAAAGGGAAGGUUGAGAGGAUGUAUUUGAUAAAUAAAAUACAUGUUUGAGAAAGUGCUGUGGAGGACAGAAAUAGUAAUUCAGAAUACGAGAUUUCAAGCUUCAAGAAGGAUAAAGAACAAUAUAAGAAAAUAUUUUAUCUACUGGAAAAGGUCGACAAUCUAUAGAAUCAUGACAGAAGAUCAAGCAAGAAAAUAAUUGGCCUUACAGAGUACACUGAAGAGUCUGAUUUUAUAAAAUAUAUUCAUUCUUCUCUUAAAGAUUUAGCUGCAGGACACAAUUCAUAUUUUCCAGGUUACAGAAAAAGCUCACAGCUCCUGCAUAUGAUAAGAAAGCAAGAUCAGUUCCUGUGAAAUGCUUUAGUUACUGAGAUAGGAAGUGUGUAUUAAAAAUAGCCUGUGGAUGAAGAGGAAUUCUAUGAGGAAAAAAUGGGGAGACAAGCUAAAAAAUUAUCUGUUGAAAUGUCUAGAGGGUAAAGAAAUCUUUAGGUUCAUAAAAAUAGUGCUCUGACAUUCCUGGUAAUAUCUGCCUUCAGCAAGAAUGAAUUAUGAAGGUCUGCGGCUUUUUUUUUACUUACUAAGAAUACAAAGGAGCUGCAGGCUAACUGAAGAAUUGUUUUUAAAUUCUAUGGGAUUCUGCACAUGAUAGUAUACAAAUGGGGAGAUUGCGCUCAUAUUUUACUGUACCACCUCAAAAGGAAGGUUAUUGGAUCUCUGAAAUCUGUAGGGCUCACACAUUUAUCACUUGUUUUUAGGAUUUUCAUCAGAUCUUCAUUAGGUGUCUCUUCUGAAGCAUCUCUGAAAGCAUACCCCUUUCCAUCUAUCUACACUCUUCACAAUGGGAAGAAGAACCCAGACUUUUCAAAAUAAACCACAAGAAGAUGAAAUAAGGAGCCACAGAUAAGGAGUGGUCUUAGAAAUCUGAAGAGGUCCCACUUGAGUGAAAGUUGGAAAACAUUGCUUCUAUUUUCAAGAAGAGCAAUGGAGAAGACCCUGGUAAUUAUGGACCUGUCAAUCCCACCUGCAAAAAUGAUGGAGAAAAUUACGCUGAAAAACAAUGUCAUCACUGCUCACAGGCAGCGUGGGUUCAUGAAGGAAAAGUAACUUGGAUUCCUUCUCAAAGGGUGGAUUGUCUUUGCUGCUUUCCAUUCCUCAGGCACCGGUCCCAUUCCCCGUGACUUACCAAAGAUGAUGGAAAGCGGCCUAGCAAUGACUUCCACCAGCUCCCUCAGCACCCACUGAUGCAUCCCAUCAGGGCCCAUGGAUUUAUGGAUGUCCAGAUUGCUUAACUGGUCCAUAACCCGGUCUUCAUCAACCACAUGAGAUCCUGAACUCCACUACAUCAUGGUCGCUGCAACUAAGGCUGCCCUCAACCUUCACUGCUUCAAUCGGACCCUCCUUAUUAGUGAGAAUAAAAUCCAGCAGCACUCCUCUCCUAGUUGGCUCAUCCACCAUUUGCAUCAGAAAGUUAUCAUCAACACACUGGUGGAAGUUCCUGGACUGUGGAUGGCUGGCUGAGCAGGCCCUCCAGCAAAUAUCAGGGUAAUGAAAGUCCUCCACAGUAACCAGGGCCUGUAAUUCAGAGGACACUAUCAGCUGUCUGAAGAAGGCCUCAUCAACUUCCUCAUCCUGAUCCAG